GUACGGGAGGCAGCAGUAGGGAAUAUUGCGCAAUGGGCGAAAGCCUGACGCAGCGACGCCGCGUGGGUGAUGAAGGCCUUCGGGUCGUAAAGCCCUGUCGAGGGGGACGAAUCGGUCGCGACCCAACACGUCGCGAUCCUGACGGUACCCCUAAAGGAAGCACCGGCUAACUCCGUGCCAGCAGCCGCGGUAAUACGGAGGGUGCUAGCGUUGUUCGGAAUCACUGGGCGUAAAGCGCGUGUAGGCGGCCUCCCAAGUCUGAUGUGAAAGCCCGGGGCUCACCCCCGGAAGUGCAUUGGAAACUGUGAGGCUCGAGUCCCGGAGAGGAGGGUGGAAUUCCUGGUGUAGCGGUGAAAUGCGUAGAUAUCAGGAGGAACACCGGUGGCGAAGGCGGCCCUCUGGACGGUGACUGACGCUGAGACGCGAAAGCGUGGGGAGCAAACAGGAUUAGAUACCCCGGU
rnacentral:rRNA from 1 species